rnacentral:rRNA from 1 species
AGCUGCAGAAGAAGCACCGGCUAACUCCGUGCCAGCAGCCGCGGUAAUACGGAGGGUGCGAGCGUUAAUCGGAAUUACUGGGCGUAAAGCGCAUGCAGGUGGUUUGUUAAGUCAGAUGUGAAAGACCCGGGGCGUCAACCUCGGAAUUGCAUUUGUAAACUAGGCAGACUAGAGUACUGUAGAGGGGGUAGGAAUUUCAGGUGUAGCGGUGAAAUAGCGUAGAGAUCUGAAGGAAUACCGGUGGCGAAGGCGGCCCCCUCGGACAGAUACUGACACUCAGAUGCGAUAGCGUGGGGAGCAAACAGGAUUAGAUACCCUGGUAG